GGGUCGUUAGCUCAGUUGGUAGAGCAGUUGACUUUUAAUCAAUUGGUCGCAGGUUCGAAUCCUGAGCAGUUGACUUUUAAUCAAUUGGUCGCAGGUUCGAAUCCUGCACGACCCACCA
rnacentral:tRNA from 1 species